UAAUACGUAGGCGGCAAGCGUUGUCCGGAAUUAUUGGGCGUAAAGGGAGCGCAGGCGGGAAACUAAGCGGAUCUUAAAAGUGCGGGGCUCAACCCCGUGAUGGGGUCCGAACUGGUUUUCUUGAGUGCAGGAGAGGAAAGCGGAAUUCCCAGUGUAGCGGUGAAAUGCGUAGAUAUUGGGAAGAACACCAGUGGCGAAGGCGGCUUUCUGGACUGUAACUGACGCUGAGGCUCGAAAGCUAGGGUAGCGAACGGGA
rnacentral:rRNA from 1 species